UAGACCCAAAAUCCCAUUAUCAUGACCCAAAAUCCCAUUACAUGGCUCGAAAUCCCAUUUACGUAGACCCAAAAUCCCACUAGCAUGACCCAAAAUCCCAUUACGUGGCUCAAAAUCCCAUUACGUAGACCCAAAAUCCCAUUAUGUGGCUCGAAAUCCCAUUACGUGUCUCGAAAUCCCAAUAACGUACCCCAAAUCCCAUUACGUAGACCCGAAAUCCCAUUAACGUGGCUCGAAAUCCCAUUACGUAGACCCAAAAUCCCAUUACGUGGCCAUGGGAAGCGACCACUGCCCCAUCACGCUCUACCUGGCCCUAUAGGGGCCUAGAGGGGGCGAUCCCAGCCAAAAUCCCAUUAGCGGGACUCGAAAUCCCAUUACGUAGACCCAAAAUCCCAUUACGUGGCUCGAAAUCCCAUUACGUAGACCCAAAAUCCCAUUAUCUAGACCCAAAAUCCCAUUACGUGGCUUGAAAUCCCAUUACGUGGCUCGAAAUCCCAUUACGUAGACCCAAAUCCCAC
ensembl:lncRNA